rnacentral:rRNA from 1 species
ACGUAUGGUGCAAGCGUUAUUCGGAUUUAUUGGGCGUAAAGGGUCCGUAGGCGGUUUAUUAAGUCUGAUGUGAAAUCCUAUGGCUCAACCAUAGAACUGCAUUGGAAACUGAUAAACUUGAGUAUUGGAGAGGUGAGCGGAAUACCUGGUGUAGCGGUGGAAUGCGUAGAUAUCAGGUGGAACACCGAGAGCGAAGGCAGCUCACUGGACAAUUACUGACGCUGAGGGACGAAGGCAUGGGGAGCGAAAAGG